rnacentral:rRNA from 1 species
GUAAAGGGUUAUGUUAGUUGAGGUCUGCUGAGUUGAUGAUGGGGCAGCCUACACUGCAAGUGAUCGCAGCAAGCUGCUUCACCGGUGAGAGUGCGAACGGUGAGUAUACAUGGUACAUUCCUGUAGUGGGGAUAGCCGGCGAAAGCGGGAUUAUCCGCAUAGAUCUGGGAGAAAGCGGGUACUUCGCCCUCGCGCUAUAGGAUCGCAGAUGGCAGAUUAGAUAGUUGUGGAUAAAGGCAUCACAAGGCGACGAUCUGUAGCUGUGUGAGAGGACUACCAGCCACACUGGGAGUGAGACACGGCCCAGACUCAUACGAGAGGCAGCAGUGGGGAAUUUUGGACAAUGGGCGAAAGCGUGAUCCAGCAAUGCCGCGUGUGAGAAGAACGCCUUCGUGUUGUAAAGCACUUUUGUCCGGAAAGAAAUCGUUGGCUCUAAUACAGUCGGGAUAUGACGGUACCGGAAGAAUAAGCACCGGCUAAUUACGUCCCAGCAGCCGCGGUAAUACGUAGGGCGCGAGCGUUUAUCGGAAUUACUGGGUGUAAAGCGUGCGCAGGCGGUUUUAUAAGACCGAUGUGAAAUCCCCGGGCUCAACCUGGGAACUGCAUUGGUGACUGGCAGGCUAGAGUAUGGCAGAGGGGGGUAGAAUUCCGCGUGUCGCAGUGAAAUGUGUAGAUAUGUGGAGGAAUACCGAUGGAGAAGGCAGCCCCCUGGCCCAAUACUCACGCUCAUGCAAGAAAGCGUGGGGAGCAAACAGGAUUAGAUCCCCUGGUAGUCCACGCCCUAAACGAUGUCAACUAGUUGUUGGGGAUUCAUUUCCUCAGUAACGUAGCUAACGCGUGAAGUGACCGCCUUGGAGGUACGUCGCAAGUAAAUCAGUA